CAGGGGGGCCGGCUUAAUGCAUGCAAGUCGAGUCGAAUGACGAAAAGCUUGCUUCUCUGAUUUAGCGGCGGACGGGUGAGUAACACGUGGGCAACCUGCCCUGUAGACUGGGAUAACUUCGGGAAACCGGAGCUAAUACCGGAUAAUCCAUUUCACCUCAUGGUGAAAUGUUAAAAGGCGCAUCUCGCGUCACUACAGGAUGGGCCCGCGGUGCAUUACCUAGUUGGUGGGGUAACGGCCUACCAAGGCAACGAUGCAUAGCCAACCUGAGAGGGUGAUCGGCCACAUUGGGACUGAAACACGGCCCAAACUCCUACGGGAGGCAGCAGUAGGGAAUCUUCCACAAUGGACGAAAGUCUGAUGGAGCAACGCCGCGUGAGUGAUGAAGGUUUUCGGAUCGUAAAACUCUGUUGUAAGGGAAAAACAAGUACGUUAGGAAAUGAACGUACCUUGACGGUACCUUAUUAAAAAGCCACGGCUAACUACGUGCCAGCAGCCGCGGUAAUACGUAGGUGGCAAGCGUUGUCCGAAUUUAUUGGGCGUAAAGCGCGCGCAGGCGGUUUCUUAAGUCUGAUGUGAAAGCCCACGGCUUAACCGUGGAGGGUCAUUGGAAACUGGGAGACUUGAGUGCAGAAGAGGAAAGUGGAAUUCCAAGUGUAGCGGUGAAAUGCGUAGAGAUUUGGAGGAACACCAGUGGCGAAGGCGACUUUCUGGUCUGCAACUGACGCUGAGGCGCGAAAGCAUGGGGAGCAAACAGGAUUAGAUACCCUGGUAGUCCAUGCCGUAAACGAUGAGUGCUAAGUGUUAGGGGUUUCCGCCCCUUAGUGCUGCAGCUAACGCAUUAGCACUCGCCUGGGAGUACGACCGCAAGUUGAAACUCAAGAUUGACGGGGCCCGCACAGCGUGAGCAUGUGUUUAUUCGAGCACGCGAAGAACUACAGUCUGACAUCCCAGUGACCACUCUAGAGAUAGAGUUCCUUCGGACAUGUGACAGUGAUGCAUGGUGUCGUCAGCUCGUUCCUGAAUGUAGCUAAGUCCGCACGGGCACUGAAUCUAGUGCAUCAUCAUGGAAUUAAGUACUGCGGCACGAGACGUGUAUACCAUCCUGCCUCGACUGCUACAGUUCAAUGACGUGAAAGUGCUAACUCCCGA
rnacentral:rRNA from 1 species